GAUGGUGAUGGCCGCUCCAGUUUACUGCUUGAGCAUCGGCUGUGUGCCAGGCUCUUCCCCAGCCACUCACAGCUGGCAGAGGCCCCACAGAACACCACGCUGGAGCCACCGUUGACAUCCUCGUGCAGAUCACACCUGCCUUCCUGAGACACAAAAGAGGGGGAAAACCCCCCACAAACAUUCAGGGGCCCAUCACCUUGACAAAGCUUCGGGGAGACCAUGGAGUGUUUCAGGAGAGCCCAACAAAGUGAAAGAGAUGUCGUUAUACCUAAAAAAGGCGGGAUGACGUUUGCAGAAAUUUUUUGGAUUUCGAAGGCAACCUAUUGGCCAUUUGGCUGUGUCCUCCCAAAGCCUUUACCAAUGAACCUGUAAGGCCACCAGGUAUGAGUGGGGCUCCCAGACCUCAUCUCCUAAUAGACCCAGUGGCACUCAGUGUUCGUGACCAACAGCAAUGCUGCAGAGAGCCCAGGGGGCAGACCACCGAGCAGAGUGCCAGGGUUCUGGACAAAGCCAGGCCCUCCUCUGCAUGUGACUAUUCUCAUCUCCAAGAAACAGCUCCUGGCUACCACUGGGUCCCGGUGGGGACUGAAUGGCUGACGGGGACAUCAGUGGACUGCAGUCCUGAGCUCAGUGCAUUAUGGACGGGGUGUGAUCUGCCCCCCUCCACAAGAAGUCGGGUCUACUCGGCUGCAAACUGUCAUCUCAUGGAGAUGGUGUGUGAGAGCCUGAGACAACCCAGAAGACGCACAUCAGUUGCAUGAACAGAUGGCUCAGACCCUGUGACAUGUCCUCUUGCUUGUGGCCUCCUCUCUCCCUCAGUCGACACCUUCUGGGAAGUUCCCAGUGACCAGAUGGCCAAGGAGGCGUGCUUUCAGAUGGUUCUCCAUGAUGCACUGGCUCCAGCUAAGAACAGGCUAUGAGGGCAUGACAGCCCCAAUGUCAAGUGUCCCUGGAAGACAGAGGGGAAGGGAAAUCAUCCCAGCAGACAGAGCUUGAGUAGAACAAAUGGUUAUCGCUUUUCUGGGCUGAAAGACAGCCGGAAGAAUUAACCUACAUCAGUGACUCUUCCCCUCCCCCCACCGCCUUGGGGAUAUUUGGCGAUCCCUGGAGACGUCUUGAUUGUCACAUCUAGGGGGAGGGAGCUACUGGCAUCCAGUGGGUAGAGGUCAGCCAAGGACAUUGCUGCACAUCUUAUAAUACACACAGGACGAUCCCCUACAAAAAAGGAUGAUCUGGCCCUAAACUUCAUUAGUGCCACAGUCAAGGAAUCCCAAUCCAC